rnacentral:lncRNA from 10 species
UCCCUCCUAAGGGUCGGCCCAAGUCCAGGACCUGUCUGGGAAUUGUGGACAUAUCGGUAGGACACGGGCAAGGAUUGCCAUCUCGCUCAGCACCUGUUUCCUUGAACGAUGAGAAUAACCCAUCUCUCCUGUUUUAAGUGUGAUUUGUCAUAUACAUCAAUAGGCAUCUUGGCUCAACAUACGAAAGCCCCUUUCCACAGAGACAGCUGCCUCCAGCCUGAAGAAGUUGCCACAGGAGGUAGAAGGAGGUCCCUUGCCCAUGCCUGGGAGACCCAGCCAGAGUGGACAGGGAGGCGGCCCGGGCCGGGGUGCCAGACUCAGCAAAUAAACACAGCAUGCCCAGUUGACGGCGCAUGUGGUACUGUAUUGAAUCUGGCAACGCUCCACCUUGGUUUUCCUACCCGGGUUUGUGGAAGGGGCUCCCCCUGCCCCGCAGGUGCCGCCCCGAGGAGGUGGAGGAGGAGGAGCCGGGCACUGACUGGGGACCCAGGUGAGUCUAGCAAAUGACAAGGCCCAACGGUCAAAACCGCCUCAGUAAUGCGCUCGUCCAAAGCACGCACUUAACGCUCAAUCCUGGUGUCGCGUCCCGUUGCCAGGCAACGAAAGCAAGCGCUGCAAAGACGAAGGGGAGCGCCCAAGGAUGAGGAACGUUCCAAGACACUGAGUGAUUUGCUGAAAAUCACACAUCUAGAUGCAAAGCCAGAAUGCGAGCAGUGACCACCACACUUGACAAAUCCGUUGUUGCACACAUUUGUACUCUUCAAUCAACAAAACCUGAUGCAAAAAACAGAAAAGGGGGAGAUGUACAUGCAUUUUCCCUCACUGCAAAAAAAACACAACUUGUUUAACUACAGGUGUGUUCCUGGUGGUCUUUGAAUGAAGACAUUGACAGAAAGUAACAUAGCAUGCUGGUUAAAGACUGUUUUUAUUCGAAUCCUGGCUUUGCCAAUCAACAGCUGCAUAAAUUAAACUCUCGACCUCAGCUCCCUUAUUUGUAAAACAAGAAUAACAAAAAGACAUUUUUAUAAGGUUGGGUUGAAGGUUAAAUGAAAUAACAGAAGAUUAUCUCUUCACUAAUUUUAGCUGUAGAAAACAGAAGCCAAUCGAAAGAGCUCCCAGUCCAAAGCUGGAACAACUUGAACAACAAAAUAAAUAAUGUAGCAUUGGAUUACAAACCAACCAUAAAACAAAUAUCCAUGAGUCUAUACUGAUGUCAAUAAAUGAAUAAAUGUGGGAAAAU